GCGGUCUUGACCGAGUGGUUAAGGUGAUUGACUAGAAAUCAAUUGGGGCGACCCGCACAGGUUCGAAUCCUGUAGACCGCG
rfam:Naegleria gruberi genomic scaffold NAEGRscaffold_16, whole genome shotgun sequence.